CACGUAGGGCGCGAGCGUUGUCCGGAAUUAUUGGGCGUAAAGAGCUCGUAGGCGGCCUGUUGCGUCCGCUGUGAAAGCCCGGGGCUUAACCCCGGGUCGGCAGUGGAUACGGGCAGGCUAGAGGUAGGUAGGGGAGAAUGGAAUUCCCGGUGUAGCGGUGAAAUGCGCAGAUAUCAGGAGGAACACCGGUGGCGAAGGCGGCUCUCUGGGACGGUACUGACGCUGAGACGCGAAAGCGUGGGGAGCGAACAGG
rnacentral:rRNA from 1 species